rnacentral:rRNA from 1 species
UCGGGAAUUUUGGGCAAUGGGGGAAACCCUGACCCAGCAACGCCGCGUGAAGGAUGAAGUAUUUCGGUAUGUAAACUUCGAAAGAAUAGGAAGAAUAAAUGACGGUACUAUUUAUAAGGUCCGGCUAACUACGUGCCAGCAGCCGCGGUAAUACGUAGGGACCAAGCGUUGUUCGGAUUUACUGGGCGUAAAGGGCGCGUAGGCGGCAUGACAAGUCACUUGUGAAAUCUCUGGGCUUAACCCAGAACGGCCAAGUGAUACUGUCGCGCUAGAGUGCAGAAGGGGCAAUCGGAAUUCUUGGUGUAGCGGUGAAAUGCGUAGAUAUCAAGAGGAACACCUGAGGUGAAGACGGGUUGCUGGGCUGACACUGACGCUAAAGCGCGAAAGCCAGGGGAGCAAACGGGAUUAGAUACCCACGUAGUCCCUGAGCGGGCUGGCAAGGCGCAU